AAAAAGAACCUGAAACCGUGUACGUACAAGCAGUGGGAGCACGCUUAGGCGUGUGACUGCGUACCUUUUGUAUAAUGGGUCAGCGACUUAUAUUCUGUAGCAAGGUUAACCGAAUAGGGGAGCCGAAGGGAAACCGAGUCUUAACUGGGCGUUAAGUUGCAGGGUAUAGACCCGAAACCCGGUGAUCUAGCCAUGGGCAGGUUGAAGGUUGGGUAACACUAACUGGAGGACCGAACCGACUAAUGUUGAAAAAUUAGCGGAUGACUUGUGGCUGGGGGUGAAAGGCCAAUCAAACCGGGAGAUAGCUGGUUCUCCCCGAAAGCUAUUUAGGUAGCGCCUCGUGAAUUCAUCUCCGGGGGUAGAGCACUGUUUCGGCAAGGGGGUCAUCCCGACUUACCAACCCGAUGCAAACUGCGAAUACCGGAGAAUGUUAUCACGGGAGACACACGGCGGGUGCUAACGUCCGUCGUGAAGAGGGAAACAACCCAGACCGCCAGCUAAGGUCCCAAAGUCAUGGUUAAGUGGGAAACGAUGUGGGAAGGCCCAGACAGCCAGGAUGUUGGCUUAGAAGCAGCCAUCAUUUAAAGAAAGCGUAAUAGCUCACUGGUCGAGUCGGCCUGCGCGGAAGAUGUAACGGGGCUAAACCAUGCACCGAAGCUGCGGCAGCGACACUAUGUGUUGUUGGGUAGGGGAGCGUUCUGUAAGCCUGUGAAGGUGUACUGUGAGGUAUGCUGGAGGUAUCAGAAGUGCGAAUGCUGACAUAAGUAACGAUAAAGCGGGUGAAAAGCCCGCUCGCCGGAAGACCAAGGGUUCCUGUCCAACGUUAAUCGGGGCAGGGUGAGUCGACUCCUAAGGCGAGGCCGAAAGGCGUAGUCGAUGGGAAACAGGUUAAUAUUCCUGUACUUGGUGUUACUGCGAAGGGGGGACGGAGAAGGCUAUGUUGGCCGGGCGACGGUUGUCCCGGUUUAAGCGUGUAGGCUGGUUUUCCAGGCAAAUCCGGAAAACUAAGGCUGAGGCGUGAUGACGAGGCACUACGGUGCUGAAGCAACAAAUGCCCUGCUUCCAGGAAAAGCCUCUAAGCAUCAGGUAACAUCAAAUCGUACCCCAAACCGACACAGGUGGUCAGGUAGAGAAUACCAAGGCGCUUGAGAGAACUCGGGUGAAGGAACUAGGCAAAAUGGUGCCGUAACUUCGGGAGAAGGCACGCUGAUAUGUAGGUGAAGUCCCUCGCGGAUGGAGCUGAAAUCAGUCGAAGAUACCAGCUGGCUGCAACUGUUUAUUAAAAACACAGCACUGUGCAAACACGAAAGUGGACGUAUACGGUGUGACGCCUGCCCGGUGCCGGAAGGUUAAUUGAUGGGGUCAGCGCAAGCGAAGCUCUUGAUCGAAGCCCCGGUAAACGGCGGCCGUAACUAUAACGGUCCUAAGGUAGCGAAAUUCCUUGUCGGGUAAGUUCCGACCUGCACGAAUGGCGUAAUGAUGGCCAGGCUGUCUCCACCCGAGACUCAGUGAAAUUGAACUCGCUGUGAAGAUGCAGUGUACCCGCGGCAAGACGGAAAGACCCCGUGAACCUUUACUAUAGCUUGACACUGAACAUUGAGCCUUGAUGUGUAGGAUAGGUGGGAGGCUUUGAAGUGUGGACGCCAGUCUGCAUGGAGCCGACCUUGAAAUACCACCCUUUAAUGUUUGAUGUUCUAACGUUGACCCGUAAUCCGGGUUGCGGACAGUGUCUGGUGGGUAGUUUGACUGGGGCGGUCUCCUCCUAAAGAGUAACGGAGGAGCACGAAGGUUGGCUAAUCCUGGUCGGACAUCAGGAGGUUAGUGCAAUGGCAUAAGCCAGCUUGACUGCGAGCGUGACGGCGCGAGCAGGUGCGAAAGCAGGUCAUAGUGAUCCGGUGGUUCUGAAUGGAAGGGCCAUCGCUCAACGGAUAAAAGGUACUCCGGGGAUAACAGGCUGAUACCGCCCAAGAGUUCAUAUCGACGGCGGUGUUUGGCACCUCGAUGUCGGCUCAUCACAUCCUGGGGCUGAAGUAGGUCCCAAGGGUAUGGCUGUUCGCCAUUUAAAGUGGUACGCGAGCUGGGUUUAGAACGUCGUGAGACAGUUCGGUCCCUAUCUGCCGUGGGCGCUGGAGAACUGAGGGGGGCUGCUCCUAGUACGAGAGGACCGGAGUGGACGCAUCACUGGUGUUCGGGUUGUCAUGCCAAUGGCACUGCCCGGUAGCUAAAUGCGGAAGAGAUAAGUGCUGAAAGCAUCUAAGCACGAAACUUGCCCCGAGAUGAGUUCUCCCUGACUCCUUGAGAGUCCUGAAGGAACGUUGAAGACGACGACGUUGAUAGGCCGGGUGUGUAAGCGCAGCGAUGCGUUGAGCUAACCGGUACUAAUGAACCGUGAGGCUUAACCUUACAACGCCGAAGGUGUUU
rnacentral:rRNA from 1 species